AGCGCAACCCUUAUCCUUUGUUGCCAGCGAGUAAAUGUCGGGAACUCAAAGGAGACUGCCGGUGAUAAACCGGAGGAGGGUGGGGAUGACGUCAAGUCAUCAUGGCCCUUACGAGUAGGGCUACACACGUGCUACAAUGGCAUAUACAAAGAGAAGCGAACUCGCGAGAGCAAGCGGACCUCAUAAAGUAUGUCGUAGUCCGGAUUGGAGUCUGCAACUCGACUCCAUGAAGUCGGAAUCGCUAGUAAUCGUAGAUCAGAAUGCUACGGUGAAUACGUUCCCGGGCCUU
rnacentral:rRNA from 1 species